GGGUCGAUACAGAGCACAGCCUCUACAGUCUUAUGAUAACAAUUACAGUGGACUGAAUUACAAUCCUUAUUUGACAAGUAAAGUGAGAGAUGAUGAUCGAGAUGACAGAUAUGAUGACCGAGAUGAUGACCAGGAUCAAGAUUAUUAAACAAUAAACACUCGACAGUGC